rnacentral:rRNA from 1 species
UAGGGAAUCUUCGGCAAUGGGGGGAACCCUGACCGAGCAACGCCGCGUGAGUGAAGAAGGUUUUCGGAUCGUAACGCUCUGUUGUAAGAGAAGAACGGGUGUGAGAGUGGAAAGUUCACACUGUGACGGUAUCUUACCAGAAAGGGACGGCUAACUACGUGCCAGCAGCCGCGGUAAUACGUAGGUCCCGAGCGUUGUCCGGAUUUAUUGGGCGUAAAGCGAGCGCAGGCGGUUAGAUAAGUCUGAAGUUAAAGGCUGUGGCUUAACCAUAGUAUGCUUUGGAAACUGUUUAACUUGAGUGCAGAAGGGGAGAGUGGAAUUCCAUGUGUAGCGGUGAAAUGCGUAGAUAUAUGGAGGAACACCGGUGGCGAAAGCGGCUCUCUGGUCUGUAACUGACGCUGAGGCUCGAAAGCGUGGGGAGCAAACA